AAUGAACGCUGGCGGCAUGCCUAACACAUGCAAGUCGAACGAGACCUUCGGGUCUUGUGGCGCACGGGUGCGUAACGCGUGGGAACCUGCCCUUAGGUUCGGAAUAACUCCCCGACAGGGGUGCUAAUACCGGAUAAUGUCUUCGGACCAAAGAUUUAUCGCCCUUGGAUGGGCCCGAGUUGGAUUAGCUUGUUGGUAGGGUAAAAGCCUACCACGGCGACGAUCCAUAGCUGGUCUGAGAGGAUGAUCAGCCACACUGGGACUGAGACACGGCCCAGACUCCUACGGGAAGCAGCAGUGGGGAAUAUUGGACAAUGGGCGAAAGCCUGAUCCAGCAAGGCCGCGUGAGUGAUGAAGGUCGUAGGGUUGUAAAGCUCUUUUACCCGGGAUGAUAAUGACAGUACCGGGAGAAUAAGCUCCGGCUAACUCCGUG
rnacentral:rRNA from 1 species